rnacentral:rRNA from 1 species
UACGUAGGGGGCAAGCGUUAUCCGGAUUUAUUGGGCGUAAAGAGCGCGUAGGCGGCCAUGCAGGUCCGUUGUGAAAACUGGAGGCUUAACCUCCAGACGUCGAUGGAAACCGUAUGGCUAGAGUCCGGAAGAGGAGAGUGGAAUUCCUGGUGUAGCGGUGAAAUGCGCAGAUAUCAGGAGGAACACCAGUGGCGAAGGCGGUGGUCUGGGCCGGAACUGACGCUGUUGAGCGAAAGCGUGGGGAGCGAACAGG